AAGUGUAGAUAUAUAAAGUCCUUGGCCAGUGAAGCAACAAUUGUUUUCAUCUAUGUUUUGGUGAAGGAGGUAGGUGACAGAAUUUGAGCAAAAAAGCAAAAAGAGAAAAAUCCCUGAACCUUAAGGGUUCAAUGAAAGUCAGACCACUUGAGAUAAAUUCUGCAUUAGCUUUAAAAAUUCUUUUUAAAGUCUGUCUUUCACAGACCUCAGAAACACAUAAAUCACACAAUAUUAUGCACAUUGACACCAUUUCCCAAAAAGGAAAUGCAACACCAAAGUUCUUUUGACUUUGCAGUGCUGCUGUGGCUUAAACAAAGCUCUCAGGGACUGGAGUGCUGGUUAAUAUCGUGUUUCUUCAUCUCUUUCCUGGGAGUUUCUCAAGUUCUGCAAUCAGCUGGUCAACAGCCAACUGGAGCUGCCCAAUUCAUGUUGGACUUUCCUUAUUCUAAAUUCUUACACAACUCACUGCCUAGCCUUUGAAAUUACACUGCCUCAGCUACUACCAUGGGGAAAGUUGUAUUCUGCCUGCAGCCUUUUCUCUUCUCUGAUUAGCUAAAGAGUAGGACUGACCAUUUAAGGGAAAAAGAAGAACAUAAUCCAAUAUAUUUUCCUGAGGUUCCCAUAUUUUUGCCCUAGAACCUUUAUAAUGUAUUCUUUAAAGCCAGGAAAAUUCUUUUCUUCUUUUCUUUCUUUUCUUUUCUUCCUUUCUUCUUUCUUUCUUUCUAAAACAAGGUCUUCAUUAGAGAAUGAUCAUUCUGAAAUUCAGUUUGCCUUAUCUUUUAGAAACUCAUCCUUUCAAUUGUGAAAAAUAAAGCAAAAUGGACAGGUCUAAACUAAAACAAUCGGAUAAUUCUGAGAAAGAGAUGGCUUUCUGAUUCUUUAAAAAGAAUUCACAGUGAUCGCCAUAUUUCCUAAAUGUGUUAUCACAUAGUGGGACAGUGAGAAGCAAAGGAAACAGACAGCACAGAAUCGGAGAGAGCGCUCUUCUCGUGGAAACAGAAAUUUCUUAAGAGACACUGUCAGAGCAGUGACUUUGUGAGAAGCUGAGCUCGCGUGUGCUAUAUUUAACCAGUGUUCUCAGCAAGUCAAGCCUGUCAACAGCUGAGAAGUUUGGAGCCGGCUCUGCUCAGUUCCUCGGCAGCUGGGUUAUCAGUGGAUACAGCUCUGCUCACCCUGUAAAAGAUUGCGGGGAAACGGCAGACCCUUUUAAGGACUGCUGCUCGUUGCACAGAGGUCAUUCAUUCAAAGCAAGAAACGGAGAACACUCCAGGAAAAACCAGGACUUCAGACACCUCUGGUUGUCGCGACAGCCCUGUCUCAUCAUUAAACCUCCAGUCUCCAAAACCAGAGAGCGAUCACUUCUACCCUGAACUCCAACAUAAAGAAUAUCUCAAGACAUUUUUAUUUGCUUUAUUCUAUGUCGGAAAAUAGUAUGAAUCUUCCAAGACUAAGAAUCAUGAAAAAAAAAGUGUGCUUAAAACUACUCUUGGGACUCCCUUACUAAUUACAUAUGUGAAGUUAACUUAACAGUAAGAGGACCUGAGAGAGUGUCUUUUAGCCACAAAGUAGGAAGGGAGACACACAUGCACACACGCGCUCACACACACAAAACCACACACCAUUACUGGCUAACAGACUAGAAUAUUACCCUGACAGAAACCUUGCCAAUACCACGAAAAACGUUGACCCCUUUCCUGAGGUCAAUUUGUCAGCUUAACGAUACCGUUUUUAAUGAUACCCUUUUUUUGACAUGCAGACUGAAGUUGGACCAAGGAGACAUGUAAAGGCAUAGAUAGAUUGCAUAUUUUAAGUGUUGCAUACUUGCGAAAAGAGGCUUACUACGCUAGAGAACCCAGAUGUCUGUCUGGGAAAGGCUGCCACUUUUCACAAGGGGUGUGUGUAUCCUUCUUUUUAAAGAAAUGACACUUACCUCCAAGGUUAGAUGAUCCCACACCUCAACCAAUGAGAAAACGUCUCAGCUCUCCUCAACCCACCCACCACACUAACAGCAUUCAUCCUCCCCCCUCUAAUUUCUUUACUACUGUUCACAUAUAAAAUUGCAUUUGUUCAGAUUCUUCUUAGUCCUUCUGGGUCUGGGCCAACGCUGAUUUUUUU